rnacentral:rRNA from 1 species
UACGUAGGGAGCAAGCGUUGUCCGGAAUCAUUGGGCGUAAAGAGCGCGUAGGUGGCCACAUAAGUCCGUUGUGAAAGUCAAAGGCUCAACCUUUGAAAGCCGAUGGAUACUGUGUGGCUAGAGUACGGAAGAGGCGAGUGGAAUUCCUGGUGUAGCGGUGGAAUGCGCAGAUAUCAGGAGGAACACCAAUUGCGAAGGCAGCUCGCUGGGACGUUACUGACGCUGAGACGCGAAAGCGUGGGGAGCAAACAGG